rnacentral:rRNA from 1 species
GACGAACGCUGGCGGCGUGCUUAACACAUGCAAGUCGUACGGUAAGGCCCUUUCGGGGGUACACGAGUGGCGGACGGGUGAGUAACACGUGAGUAACCUGCCCACAACUUUGGGAUAACGCUAGGAAACUGGUGCUAAUACUGGAUAUGUGCUCCUGCUGCAUGGUGGGGGUUGGAAAGCUCCGGCGGUUGUGGAUGGACUCGCGGCCUAUCAGCUUGUUGGUGGGGUAGUGGCCUACCAAGGCGGCGACGGGUAGCCGGCCUGAGAGGGUGACCGGCCACAUUGGGACUGAGAUACGGCCCAGACUCCUACGGGAGGCAGCAGUGGGGAAUAUUGCACAAUGGGCGAAAGCCUGAUGCAGCAACGCCGCGUGCGGGAUGACGGCCUUCGGGUUGUAAACCGCUUUCAGCAGGGACGAAGCUUUUUGUGACGGUACCUGCAGAAGAAGCACCGGCUAACUACGUG